rnacentral:rRNA from 1 species
UACGUAGGGGGCAAGCGUUGUCCGGAUUUAUUGGGCGUAAAGAGCGUGUAGGCGGCCUGACAGGUCUGCUGUGAAAACUCGAGGCUCAACCUCGAGAUGUCGGCGGAAACCGUCUGGCUAGAGUCCGGAAGAGGAGAGUGGAAUUCCUGGUGUAGCGGUGAAAUGCGCAGAUAUCAGGAAGAACACCUAUGGCGAAGGCAGCUCUCUGGGACGGCACUGACGCUGAGACGCGAAAGCGUGGGGAGCGAACAGG